GCGGAUCCUAAAGGCACCAGGAGCUUCACAGCUUCUAUGGUAAUGGAAUUGAUGGCUGUUUCUCUUAGAUAAAUCUUUGACUGUGAUUAUUGGACUCAACGGGUGACAAGGUGCUUCUCUUAAAAUUACAGUUAGAAAAGGUCCUAUCCUACCAACCAGUUGCUGGGAACAGGAAGAUUCUGAAUGGAUUGUUUGAGUUCCUGGUGUGAUCUCCAUACCUCUGGAUGAAGGCUGAUGCCCAUUGGUACUCUACAGGCAUAAAAGAGCCUUUGGCAUUACUGCGACAGUCAUUGCUGCCAUCGCCAUUUCAGUCACUACUGCUGCAGUGGCCAGUGUGGCCAUAUCUCAGUCAGCAGCUGUCGUUGGGACUGUGUAUACGUUCUGGAGAAGUUGCCACGGCAUUGACUGUGCAGAAUAGCGUUAAUAUUCAGAUUCAGUUGGUCAUUAUUAAUCUCAACCAACAAACUGCUCUCAAUUGGACUUUCUCUGGGAAACCCAUGUUAUAUCUUGCUCUACCUUUGAUCAUUCUAUGUGUGUAACCCCUGUUAAGGUCCUUAAUAGCAACAAUGCUGUUGGGGACUUGAUUGCUUAUCUUGAUUGCUCACUUUUAGCAGCUGCCCUUGGGCUGUUUUGAGGUACCAACAGAUCCUGUCUCAGGCUGAAACCAAACAGGUUUGGUUUUCAUUGGCCUGGAUUAAUCCAUUGGCCCAAAUUAGGCUCAGUUUGUAUGACAAGUAGUUAGCCAAAGAUGAGCAACCUUCUGGGACCAUACUCGCCUAAGGCAGAAACCCUGAGGCUGGCAGGGUUUUCAGAGACGGGAAAGAGUUUUGGAACCCAAGAUUGAUCCUAAAACAGGUGCUACUUAAAAAAAAUAAAAGGGGGAAUUGUUGGGCCCUAAUUUGGGGUGUUUUCCCUUCCCCCUCGCUGAGCCUUUUAGCCUGCUAUAGCAAGAAGUUGUUUACACCCUUGGCUGCUGCUCUUGGCCCCUGAUUUGGGGCCAGGACUUUUCAUGGCACCCUUCCUCCCCACCGAGCCUUCUACCUUGUUGUUGUUAAGAAGUUGUUUAUGACCCUGAUUGGGCCCAGGACUUUCCACCACACAGACUUUUCCUGUUUUCCUGGUUGGGUAUUUUCACCUGCCUUGUUUUUCCAUGGCUUUUUGCCUCGGGUAUAUAAGGAGAUCUCAGUAAAGCCUUGGUGGCACUCUCUGAAAAUAGGUGACCCAUGUACGUGUUUUCUUUCAAUCCUGCAGACCUACACUGGAUAUUCACACACUGGGGACGCAGGCGCUGUCAAUCCCUAACAUCUCAGACAAACCAAUAGAAAGCAUUUGCUGUCAGACCCUAUCCCACCUCAAAAUGUAUCCAAGAUCCUAUCCAGUAGGAGUAAAGGUGUGGGAAUUGCUCCAUCAAGGAUUGUCUGAGAGCUUCUGUUAUGUAAGGGCUGUAACACUUCCUGGGGAAGAGAGCUCUCCCAGGAAGCUUUCACAGCAGAAGCUGCCUGGACCCACCAUGGUCACUUCCUGCCCAGUGGCCCGAUCCAACUCCCUUCCCUUGACUGCUGCGCUCCUGAAGAUCUCUGCUGACAGUGUCUGGUAUACAGUCAGUCAAAUAAAUACAUUUUGACUGCUUCCUCAUUAAGUCCUCAUAGAUGAGUAACAAAAUAUUUUCUUCCUCCUUCUCCUGGACCUCUUGCUCUCCCCAUUCUCCCUCUCCUUUUCCUCCUCCCCUUCCUGUUUCUGAGACAAUGUCUUGCCAUGUAUCCCAGGCUAGCUUCAAACUCACUGUCCUCCCACCUAAGCCUUCAGAAAGCUAGUAUUACAGUCGUGCAUUGCCAUGCCCAGUGGAGAUGUCCGUGCUCUUGAGGAGCCUGAGGGCUUACAGUGUGGAUCGAGGUUUGCUGGUACAUGCUUUCGCGCCCUGGGUGCACAGGCAAAGUUAAGAUAUAAUUACAUCAUUUCCCUUCCUCUUUGCUCCCUCAACCCUACCCAUGCACACCCAUUCCUCCCUCUCUAAAUCCUGGUUUGAUGCACGCACACAUGCACGAGCUCCUCCCCCACACACAUGGAGGUUGUAUUUUCCAGAUGCGCAGUCCUGAUUUUUGUAUUAUCCCAAAUUGUCCCUGGUAUGGCUUCAACUACUUUAACUGAUCUGCAAUGGUUAAG
rnacentral:lncRNA from 1 species